rnacentral:rRNA from 1 species
UACGGGAGGCAGCAGUGAGGAAUAUUGGUCAAUGGGCGCGAGCCUGAACCAGCCAAGUAGCGUGCAGGAAGACUGCCCUAUGGGUUGUAAACUGCUUUUAUGCGGGGAUAAAGUGCAGCACGUGUGCUGUUUUGUAGGUACCGCAUGAAUAAGGACCGGCUAAUUCCGUGCCAGCAGCCGCGGUAAU